UCCAGACUCCUACGGGAGGCAGCAGUGGGGAACAUUGCGCAAUGGGCGAAAGCCUGACGCAGCGACGCCGCGUGAGGGAUGAAGGUCUUCGGAUCGUAAACCUCUUUCAGCAGGGAAGAACGGUCACUGUGCUAAUCAGCAGUGAAUUGACGGUACCUGCAAAGGAAGCACCGGCUAACUCCGUGCCAGCAGCCGCGGUAAUACGUAGGGGGCGAGCGUUAUCCGGAUUCACUGGGUGUAAAGGGAGCGUAGACGGCCAAGCAAGCCAGGGGUGAAAGCCCGGGGCCCAACCCCGGGACUGCCCUUGGAACUGCGUGGCUGGAGUGCAGGAGGGGCAGGCGGAAUUCCUGGUGUAGCGGUGAAAUGCGUAGAUAUCAGGAGGAACACCGGUGGCGAAGGCGGCCUGCUGGACUGCAACUGACGUUGAGGCCCGAAAGCGUGGGGAGCAAACAGGAUUAGAUACCCCAGUACA
rnacentral:rRNA from 1 species